rnacentral:sRNA from 1 species
AGAGUCCCAGGGAGUCCCACCAGCCUAGUGGCCAGACCUUCUGUGGGAUCACCGGACCCACCUGGAACCCCACUUGCUGGCCCUCACGGAAGAGCAACAGCUGAUGUUUGAGAAACUGACUCUGUAUUGCGACAGCUACAUCCAGCUCAUCCCCAUUUCCUUCGUGCUGGGCUUCUACGUGACGCUGGUUGUGACCCGCUGGUGGAACCAGUACGAGAACCUGCCGUGGCCCGACCGCCUCAUGAGCCUGGUGUCGGGCUUCGUCGAAGGCAAGGACGAGCAAGGCCGGCUGCUGCGGCGCACGCUUAUCCGCUAUGCCAACCUGGGCAACGUGCUCAUUCUGCGCAGCGUCAGCACCGCCGUCUACAAGCGCUUCCCCAGCGCCCAGCACCUGGUGCAAGCAGGCUUUAUGACUCCAGCAGAACACAAGCAGUUGGAGAAACUGAGCUUACCACACAACAUGUUCUGGGUGCCCUGGGUGUGGUUUGCCAACCUGUCGAUGAAGGCGUGGCUUGGAGGUCGAAUCCGGGACCCUAUCCUGCUCCAGAGCCUGCUGAACGAGAUGAACACCUUGCGUACUCAGUGUGGACACCUGUAUGCCUACGACUGGAUUAGUAUCCCACUGGUGUAUACACAGGUGGUGACUGUGGCGGUGUACAGCUUCUUCCUGACUUGUCUAGUUGGGCGGCAGUUUCUGAACCCGGCCAAGGCCUACCCAGGCCAUGAGCUGGACCUCGUUGUGCCCGUCUUCACGUUCCUGCAGUUCUUCUUCUACGUUGGCUGGCUGAAGGUGAGCCUCUCCAGGGCCCCGCUGGGCUGGAGGCAUGGCCAGAGGGGUCAUGGCCAGCAGCUGCCUGAGAUGAGGAUGCAGUGUCAGGAAAGGAAAGUCUCAUGGGUAGAAAGUAGCCAGGCGUGGUGGUGCACGCCUGUAAUCCCAGCUACUCAGGAGGCUGAGGCAGGAGAAUCACUUGAACCCAGGAGGCAGAGAGGUUGUGGUGAGUUGAGAUUGUGCCACUGCACUCCAGCCAGGGCAAAAGAAUGAAACUCUGUCUCAAAAACAACAACAACAACAACAAAACAAAGCCCUAAGGUUCACUAGCCCCCGCCUUUUAGAAGGCAGAUUGGCACCACCUCUCCUUAUUCAAGAUGCCUCUUGGGCUGUCUUGUUCCUCACCUCAAGUGGCUUGUCCAGGUAUUCCCUCCCACCACAGCCAGUACUCCGAACAGGUGUUCUGAAUCACACAGUUUUCUCUCCACCUCUUUAUCUUUCCUUCCUUCUGUUGCCCACCCGCUCUCUCUCCCUUCCUACCCUCCUUUAUUUUUUGGUAGUGGGUGUAAAUCUCUGUCUCUGCCCUUCCUGUCGCUGUGACACACACACACACAGACACACACACACACACACGUGCAUUC